CUCGUCACUAUAAUUUACACCAUGUUCUUUACACCAAGUCGCCAUAAAACUGUUUCCCAGUGGCUUGUGACAACUUGGGUUGAUUUUUACAUGAACUUCGCUGUUUUAUCGACUUGGAUCGUUUACAAGGAGUCCACCUGGUGUAGAUCUCUACUUUGGAUAUUUUUCUUUGGGGUUUUUGGCAAG